UGAGAUCCAUCACUUUGUUUUGAUCCUUU
rnacentral:piRNA from 1 species